rnacentral:rRNA from 1 species
AACGAAGGCUGGCGGCAUGCCUAACACAUGCAAGUCGAACGAGAUCUUCGGGUCUAGUGGCGCACGGGUGCGUAACGCGUGGGAAUCUGCCCUUUGGUUCGGAAUAACAGUUGGAAACGACUGCUAAUACCGGAUGAUGACGAAAGUCCAAAGAUUUAUCGCCAGAGGAUGAGCCCGCGUAGGAUUAGCUAGUUGGUGUGGUAAAGGCGCACCAAGGCGACGAUCCUUAGCUGGUCUGAGAGGAUGAUCAGCCACACUGGGACUGAGACACGGCCCAGACUCCUACGGGAGGCAGCAGUGGGGAAUAUUGGACAAUGGGCGAAAGCCUGAUCCAGCAAUGCCGCGUGAGUGAUGAAGGCCUUAGGGUUGUAAAGCUCUUUUGCCCGGGAUGAUAAUGACAGUACCGGGAGAAUAAGCUCCGGCUAACUCCGUGCCAGCCGCCGCAGUAA